UGAGCAAUCUGCCCUUCUACAUCGGAAUAAGCGUUGGAAACGACGUCUAAUGCCGAAUACGACCUCCUUUCGCAUGAUCGGAGGUGGAAAGCUCCGGCGGAGAAGGAUGAGCUCGCGGCCUAUCAGCUAGUUGGUGUGGGUAACGCCCACCAAGGCGACGACGGGUAGCCGGCCUGAGAGGGUGACCCGGCCACACGUGGGACUGAGACACGGCCCAGACCUCCGUACGGGAG
rnacentral:rRNA from 1 species